GACGAACGCUGGCGGCGUGCUUAACACAUGCAAGUCGAACGAAGAGCGAUGGAAGCUUGCUUCUAUCAAUCUUAGUGGCGAACGGGUGAGUAACGCGUAAUCAACCUGCCCUUCAGAGGGGGACAACAGUUGGAAACGACUGCCAAUACCGCAUACGAUCUAAUCUCGGCAUCGAGGAUAGAUGAAAGGUGGCCUCUACAUGUAAGCUAUCACUGAAGGAGGGGAUUGCGUCUGAUUAGCUAGUUGGAGGGGUAACGGCCCACCAAGGCGAUGAUCAGUAGCCGGUCUGAGAGGAUGAACGGCCACAUUGGGACUGAGACACGGCCCAGACUCCUACGGGAGGCAGCAGUGGGGAAUCUUCCGCAAUGGACGAAAGUCUGACGGAGCAACGCCGCGUGAGUGAUGACGGCCUUCGGGUUGUAAAGCUCUGUUAAUCGGGACGAAAGGCCUUCUUGCGAAUAGUGAGAAGGAUUGACGGUACCGGAAUAGAAAGCCACGGCUAACUACGUG
rnacentral:rRNA from 1 species